rnacentral:tRNA from 1 species
GACCUAUUCGUACAGUGGUUAGUACUCCGCCUUUUCGUAGCGGCAACGUUGGUUCGAUUCCAACAUAGGUUA